rnacentral:rRNA from 1 species
GAUGAACGCUGGCGGCGUGCCUAAUACAUGCAAGUCGAGCGAACGGACGAGAAGCUUGCUUCUCUGAUGUUAGCGGCGGACGGGUGAGUAACACGUGGAUAACCUACCUAUAAGACUGGGAUAACUUCGGGAAACCGUAGCUAAUACCGGAUAAUAUUUUGAACCGCAUGGUUCAAAAGUGAAAGACGGUCUUGCUGUCACUUAUAGAUGGAUCCGCGCUGCAUUAGCUAGUUGGUAAGGUAACGGCUUACCAAGGCAACGAUGCAUAGCCGACCUGAGAGGGUGGUCGGCCACACUGGAACUGAGACACGGUCCAGACUCCUACGGGAGGGAGCAGUAGGGAAUCUUCCGCAAUGGGCGAAAGCCUGACGGAGCAACGCCGCGUGAGUGAUGAAGGUCUUCGGAUCGUAAAACUCUGUUAUUAGGGAAGAACAUAUGUGUAAGUAACUGUGCACAUCUUGACGGUACCUAAUCAGAAAGCCACGGCUAACUACGUG